rnacentral:rRNA from 1 species
GAUGAACGCUAGCUACAGGCUUAACACAUGCAAGUCGAGGGACCGGCGCACGGGUGAGUAAAACGUAUCCAACCUGCCCUUUACUCGGGGAUAGCCUUUCGAAAGAACGAUUAAUACCCGAUAUAAAGGAUGGGGAUGAGUUCCAUUAGGUUGUUGGUGAGGUAGCGGCCCACCAAGCCUUCGAUGGAUAGGGGUUCUGAGAGGAAGGUCCCCCAGAUUGGAACCGGGACACGUGCCAAACUCCUAGGGGAGGCAGCAGUGAGGAAUAUUGGUCAAUGGGCGUUAGCCUGAACCAGCCAAGUAGCGUGAAGGAUGAAGGCUUAUGGGUCGUAAACGUCUUUUAUAUAAGAAUAUGUAUUAUAUGAAUAAGGAGCGGCUAACUCCGUGCCAGCAGCCGCGGUAAUUC